rnacentral:lncRNA from 1 species
ACGAUGGAACUCACCUGCAAAAUGCCACCUUUGCACAAUGCCUUUCCGCUCUGUGCAGAAGAGUAUUUAUUUUUGGCUUUAAUUUAUCAUGGAGUUUUGAUGGGAUUUUGUUUGUGUUUUGUUGGUUUGGGUCCGGUCCUUUGGGUUUUUGUUAUUGUUGUUAUGUUGUUUUUAAGCUUUUUUUUUUACUUAUCCUUCCUACCAUGAAAAAAGAAAAAGAAAAAAAAAAAGCCAAAAGUUCCAAGCUGCAAAAUUUACUUUGCUUUCUAGGUUUUGUGUUGAUUUUAAAAAUACCGAUAAGAGCAGAAGGGCUAUGUGUGACCUGACGUUAUUCCUAGUAGACACUGUCCAUCUACUGAGAUUGCCAGUGAUGAAGGUAAGAUCCUAGUAUAUGCGCUAGCUCCCAUUCUGCACUAAAUACUGGAGCACUCCAAAUGUAAAGGGGGCUGGAGAUGGUUAGUAAGAGUGCAUGCUACACGCAGAGGACCCGAAUUCAGUUCCCAGCACUUAUAUCUGGCAGCUCACAACUGUGUGUAACAGUGGUUCUCAACCGUCCUGAUGCUGCAACCCUUUAAUACAGUUCCUCAUGUUGUGGUGACCCCCGAACCAUAAAAUUAUUUUUGUUGCUACUUCAUAACUGUAAUUUUGCUACUGUUAUAAAUCAUGAGGUGAACAUCUGAUUGCAGGAUAUCUGAUGUUCGAGCUAUGUGAGAGGGUCCUUCCAUCACACACACAACACACACACAAAGAGGUCACAACCCACAGGUUGAAAACUACUGAGCUGGCUUAUCCAGGGCUCUUUUAUCCUCUGUAGGUACCUGUAUUCCUGUAUAUUCACAUACAUACAAACAAACAUAUACCCAUCAAAUAUAAGUAAUUAAAAAUGAAAUUUCUUUUAAAUGUAAAAGAGAAACAGAAUAAGAAGACAUCUCACUCAAUAGGACAAUUAGGAAGGAAUAUUAAAUCUAUGAAAGCAGGACUCAGAUGCUACGAUCUGCAUUCACUGGUGGGUGUUUACAUCUGUCUAGCUGAACUUUCUACCCCACUUCCCUCUUUUGUCCUGUAAUAUUUUCAUAGUGUCUAUCACAUGUACCUGUACCUAGGUCUCUGCUCAGUACCUCUUAUAAAAACAGUGUAAGGCUCAUUGCUUGUCGCCUUGAGAAUUCCAGUGAAGGCAAGUGCAGCUGUGUAGGAGUUGCGCUGACUGUCUCCACCUGCAGCUUUCUUUCCUGUCUCCUCUUUGCAACCAAGCAGCGGUGACCUUUCUCCAGCAGUGACUUCUGUUUUUCACUUUACACCGGACGUUCUGACCUGGUGACUCUGAGGUGACCCUUAGUAACAGCAAAGGAAUGAUUUUCAUGUUAGCAGCUUGUGUGAAGGAACUCCAAGCC